rnacentral:rRNA from 1 species
AGAGUUUGAUCCUGGCUCAGAAUGAACGCUGGCGGCGUGCCUAACACAUGCAAGUCGAACGAGAAAGUCCGCAAGGAUAAGUAAAGUGGCGUCCGGGUGAGUAACACGUGAAUUAUCUGCCCUUGGGUGAAGAAUACCCUCGAGAAAUCGAGGUUAAUACUGCAUAAGCCGGUAACGGGAAAGGUGGCCUCUUUGCUACCGCCGAAGGAUGAGUUUGCGGCCUAUUAGUUAGUUGGUGGGGUAAAGGCCUACCAAGACAAAGAUGGGUAGCCGGCCUGAGAGGGUGUACGGCCACAAUGGAACUGACACACGGUCCAUACUCCUACGGGAGGCAGCAGUGGGGAAUAUUGCACGAUGGGCGCAAGCCUGAUGCAGCGACGCCGCGUGAGGGAAGAAGGUUUUAGGAUUGUAAACCUCUGUUAAGUGGGAAAAAAUACCGACGGUUAAUACCCGAUUGGGGAUGAUGGUACCACUAGAG